rnacentral:rRNA from 1 species
CCGAAUGGGGCAACCCACCUGAAUGUUUGUUAUUGUUACCCUUUUGGGUGUCAAUAAUGAGCAUAAACAGGUACUUAUUACCUGAAUACAUAGGGUUUUAAGAGCAAACCCGGGGAACUGAAACAUCUAAGUACCCGGAGGAAAGGAAAUCAAUUAGAGACUCUGUUAGUAGCGGCGAGCGAACGCGGACCAGCCAAGCCUGAUAAGUGACCAGAAUGACCUGGAAAGGUCAGCCAUAGUGGGUGACAGCCCCGUAUGGGAAGCUUUGAAGGAUGUAUUAAGUAGGGCGGGACACGUGAAAUCCUGUUUGAAGAUCGGGGGACCACCCCCGAAGGCUAAGUACUCCUUACUGACCGAAGCGACC